rnacentral:rRNA from 1 species
GAUGAACUUUGGCGGCGUGCCUAAUACAUGCAAGUCGAGCGAACAGAUAAGGAGCUUGCUCCUUUGACGUUAGCGGCGGACGGGUGAGUAACACGUGGGUAACCUACCUAUAAGACUGGGAUAACUUCGGGAAACCGGAGCUAGUACCGGAUAAUAUUUCGAACCGCAUGGUUCGAUAGUGAAAGAUGGUUUUGCUAUCACUUAUAGAUGGACCCGCGCCGUAUUAGCUAGUUGGUAAGGUAACGGCUUACCAAGGCGACGAUACGUAGCCGACCUGAGAGGGUGAUCGGCCACACUGGAACUGAGACACGGUCCAGACUCCUACGGGAGGCAGCAGUAGGGAAUCUUCCGCAAUGGGCGAAAGCCUGACGGAGCAACGCCGCGUGAGUGAUGAAGGUCUUCGGAUCGUAAAACUCUGUUAUUAGGGAAGAACAUACGUGUAAGUAACUGUGCACGUCUUGACGGUACCUAAUCAGAAAGCCACGGCUAACUACGUGCCAGCAGCCGCGGUAAUACGUAGGUGGCAAGCGUUAUCCGGAAUUAUUGGGCGUAAAGCGCGCGUAGGCGGUUUUUUAAGUCUGAUGUGAAAGCCCACGGCUCAACCGUGGAGGGUCAUUGGAAACUGGAAAACUUGAGUGCAGAAGAGGAAAGUGGAAUUCCAUGUGUAGCGGUGAAAUGCGCAGAGAUAUGGAGGAACACCAGUGGCGAAGGCGACUUUCUGGUCUGCAACUGACGCUGAUGUGCGAAAGCGUGGGGAUCAAACAGGAUUAGAUACCCUGGUAGUCCACGCCGUAAACGAUGAGUGCUAAGUGUUAAGGGGUUUCCGCCCCUUAGUGCUGCAGCUAACGCAUUAAGCACUCCGCCUGGGGAGUACGACCGCAAGGUUGAAACUCAAAGGAAUUGACGGGGACCCGCACAAGCGGUGGAGCAUGUGGUUUAAUUCGAAGCAACGCGAAGAACCUUACCAAAUCUUGACAUCCUUUGACAACUCUAGAGAUAGAGCUUUCCCCUUCGGGGGACAAAGUGACAGGUGGUGCAUGGUUGUCGUCAGCUCGUGUCGUGAGAUGUUGGGUUAAGUCCCGCAACGAGCGCAACCCUUAAGCUUAGUUGCCAUCAUUAAGUUGGGCACUCUAAGUUGACUGCCGGUGACAAACCGGAGGAAGGUGGGGAUGACGUCAAAUCAUCAUGCCCCUUAUGAUUUGGGCUACACACGUGCUACAAUGGACAAUACAAAGGGCAGCGAAACCGCGAGGUCAAGCAAAUCACAUAAAGUUGUUCUCAGUUCGGAUUGUAGUCUGCAACUCGACUACAUGAAGCUGGAAUCGCUAGUAAUCGUAGAUCAGCAUGCUACGGUGAAUACGUUCCCGGGUCU